rnacentral:rRNA from 1 species
UACGAAGGGGGCUAGCGUUGCUCGGAAUCACUGGGCGUAAAGGGUGCGUAGGCGGGUUUUUAAGUCAGAGGUGAAAUCCUGGAGCUCAACUCCAGAACUGCCUUUGAUACUGAGAAUCUUGAGUAUGGGAGAGGUGAGUGGACCUGCGAGUGUAGAGGUGAAAUUCGUAGAUAUUCGCAAGAACACCAGUGGCGAAGGCGGCUCACUGGCCCAUAACUGACGCUGAGGCACGAAAGCGUGGGGAGCAAACAGG